UACGGAGGGGGCUAGCGUUAUUCGGAAUUACUGGGCGUAAAGCGCACGUAGGCGGAUCAGCAAGUUAGGGGUGAAAUCCCGGGGCUCAACCCCGGAACUGCCUUUAAGACUGUUGGUCUGGAGUCCGAGAGAGGUGAGUGGAAUUCCGAGUGUAGAGGUGAAAUUCGUAGAUAUUCGGAGGAACACCAGUGGCGAAGGCGGCUCACUGGCUCGGUACUGACGCUGAGGUGCGAAAGCGUGGGGAGCAAACAGG
rnacentral:rRNA from 1 species